rnacentral:lncRNA from 1 species
GCUAAAUAAAGCUUUGCUCAUCCAAAACUACCAACCCUGGGAGCUGGGGAGAUGUUGCAGUUGCCCUCGCUAACCUGAGUGAUUCUGAAACUACACAAGCUGCAUUUGGGAGAAGGAGAAGUGUCUGGGAAGGGGCCCCGAAGAGAGGAAGAAGAACAGACGGAGACCAGGGGGAACUGGGAAGGAGCAAGUGCGGAGGCGAUCCUGAAGCUGCUGAGGAAGGAAGUGAGCUCGCCUCAAGCUCUUUUGCUGCAGAAAUGCACGGAAAAUAUGAGAGGAUCCUGAAAGAAUUCUCUGGCAGAGAGCACAUCUUGUUUUCGGCCAGCAUUUGUUCGUCGUCGUCGUCGUCGUUGUCGUCGUCGUCGUCACUACUACCUACAUUCCCCCGCCGUGUUCACAUAUGAAAACAAUUAUUUCUCAGUUCAGGAAGUCAGUUUUAAUCGUUAGUUUGGCUUCAAAGGAUCCAGCACCCUUUACAAGGUCAGACUAGCUCCAAAGACAGCUAGGCAGAAACUCUGGCCUGGGGGUAAGCUGAGCUUUCCUGGUAGGCAACUACUUAGAACUUGUGCUUGAGUCCUGGAAAUGAGGAAGAUGUCCUAUCUGAGGUGGAAGGGAAGAGUUCAUCCCUGAGUGCUGGAGAGACGGUCUCAGAGAAACAACUUCCCUCAGUCUCACCUGCACUCGGUAUUCAACAAGUUCCACUGGAGAGACUCGAGCCCCACACAGGGGUCAGGGCCCUGAUUUCUUGCCCCAGAUGUGUGACCCUAGGCAAAUCCAUCAGAAUCUAGGAAUUUCUAUUUACUCAGGUGUAUGUAGGGUUUCAACCAGUCCUUCUGCUAAGCAUAAAUACCUUCUGUUUUCCUUAUUGGCUCUGCACCAUGACAACUGUAAAUUAAUCUUUAUCUUCAGACAGCAAUAGAAUUAGAUGCAAUAUGAGCAUUUUGCUUUGAUGGAUAUAACAGAAAGCCUUCACAUCUGUGCACGUGGUAGGGGUUAAUAUAAUGGAGAGCCCUACACACCAGGGUCUUUCAGAUUAUAGUGGGCAAAAGAAUCAGCUCAUUGAAAAUGCAUUGAGAGAUUGGCCUUGAGAAUCAGCGCAGACAGCUGCACCAUGUGGGUCAGGUCUGGAGGGGAUACUUACAGACAUCUGAGCCUUGGCUGGGCACCCAGGCUGUCCCCGCACAGCUGGGCCUGCUCUUCAUACCCAACUUAAGAGAUUUUGCUGCUGCUUCUAACAGUUAGGAAACCAGCUUGGAAGGCUUGACUCUGCAAGGGAGGGGCCACCUGGCCCAGGUUAACAGCCAGCUAGAGUGCUAAAGAGGGAAAUAAAAAUUAAGAACAUAGAUUCUGUGAAUCA